rnacentral:rRNA from 1 species
GAUGAACGCUGGCGGCGUGCCUAAUACAUGCAAGUCGAGCGAACAGACGAGGAGCUUGCUCCUCUGACGUUAGCGGCGGACGGGUGAGUAACACGUGGAUAACCUACCUAUAAGACUGGGAUAACUUCGGGAAACCGGAGCUAAUACCGGAUAAUAUAUUGAACCGCAGGGUUCAAUAGUGAAAGACGGUUUUGCUGUCACGUAUAGAUGGAUCCGCGCCGCAUUAGCUAGUUGGUAAGGUAACGGCUUACCAAGGCAACGAUGCGUAGCCGACCUGAGAGGGUGAUCGGCCACACUGGAACUGAGACACGGUCCAGACUCCUACGGGAGGCAGCAGUAGGGAAUCUUCCGCAAUGGGCGAAAGCCUGACGGAGCAACGCCGCGUGAGUGAUGAAGGUCUUCGGAUCGUAAAACUCUGUUAUUAGGGAAGAACAAAUGUGUAAGUAACUAUGCACGUCUUGACGGUACCUAAUCAGAAAGCCACGGCUAACUACGUG